rnacentral:rRNA from 1 species
AACGAACGCUGGCGGCAGGCCUAACACAUGCAAGUCGAGCGGACCUUUCGGGGUCAGCGGCGGACGGGUGAGUAACGCGUGGGAAUAUGCCCUUCUCUACGGAAUAGUCCUGGGAAACUGGGGGUAAUACCGUAUACGCCCUUUGGGGGAAAGAUUUAUCGGGGAAGGAUUAGCCCGCGUUGGAUUAGGUAGUUGGUGGGGUAAUGGCCUACCAAGCCGAAGAUCCAUAGCUGGUUUGAGAGGAUGAUCAGCCACACUGGGACUGAGACACGGCCCAGACCCCUACGGGGGGAGCGGGGGGGAAUUUAUGAAAAAGGGGGGCACCCUGGAUCGACCCGUGCGGGGGGAGUGAGGAAGCCUUGGGGGUGGAAAACCCCUUUCAGCUGGAAAGAAAAGGAGGGUACCAGAAAAAGAGGCCCCGCCAACCCCGUUC